rnacentral:ncRNA from 1 species
GUCAGGGUGUAGAAUGAAAAGGGAAUCGGGUGUGAAUCCCGAACAGUCCCGCUGCUGUGAACUCCAAAAAAGGUUCCGAGAAUACUGAAAGCCACUGAUUAUGACGAUUGGGAAGGCCUCGGUUACCGGAGUAAGUCAGAAGACCUGCCAUGCUGU